rnacentral:lncRNA from 1 species
GAGGGAAGGGCGCGAGCUGAGGAAAGGCGGGAACGGGCUGAGAGCAGCUCUGAGGGGAAGGCGGGAACGGACUGAGGGAGCGAGGCUGGCUGCAACGGAGGGGAGGCUCUGAGAGACGCGGGAGCGAGCUGAGGGGAAGGAGCUGAAGAGAAGUUGGGAGCGAGCUGAAAGAAGCAGGGCCGAAGCCGAGGGCAAGCUCUGAGGGGCUGGUGCCUGCGCUGAGCCGAAGGAGAGCCCCGGUUUGUGCUGCUCAGUGAGAGAGGGGACAGGUUCCCUUUCAGUGGUGGAAAACGGAGAGAUUUAGGAGGGGCGGUGGAGAAAAUGCUGGAGAAGUGUCUGGAGUGCCCGUGGAAGUCCUGAUUCCAUGUGUAUGUAAUGUGUGCUGCUGAGGAGGUGCAGAGCAUGGCUGGGAAGAGAUGUCCCCACCUGUUGGACUCGCAAGUGCAGCUACAGGUAAGAGAAAAUUUCUCUGAUGAAGUAAAUGGAAGGCAAAGGAGCAAAUCCAAUUCUGUGACAGAAUGGUUCCAGUUCUGUGUUUAGAAUUGGGUGACAUGAAUACUCUUACAGGUACAACAACUUAUACCUUUAGAAACAUGUAAGAAGAUGGAUGGACAGUGCUGGAUUAGUUUGAUCUAUUAUUUUUUGCUUUAAAUUGAGUUCAGCAUGCUAUUUUCUAGCUUAUCUCCCUAUCUCUUUUUUUUUUUCCUGUCCUGUCUCUUCAGUUCCUUUUUGGAAUUUAAUAUCUCCCCUUGGUGAUUUCUGUUCCUUAUCUUCUCUUGAUCUAUUUCUGCUUCUCUGUUAGAUUCUGUCCCCUUGAAACUCCAACCAAUGUCUCC